GACCUACUGCUGACAGCGGAGGGACAUUAC
rnacentral:rRNA from 1 species